AACGAACGCUGGCGGCAUGCCUAACACAUGCAAGUCGAACGAGACCUUCGGGUCUAGUGGCGCACGGGUGCGUAACGCGUGGGAACCUGCCCUUAGGUUCGGAAUAACUCCCCGAAAGGGGUGCUAAUACCGGAUAAUGUCUUCGGACCAAAGAUUUAUCGCCUUUGGAUGGGCCCGCGUUGGAUUAGCUAGUUGGCAGGGUAAAAGCCUACCAAGGCGAGGAUACAUAGCUGGUCAGAGAGGAUGAUCAGCCACACUGGGACUGAGACACGGCCGAGACUCCUACGGGAGGCAGGAGUGGGGAAUAUUGGACAAUGGGCGAAAGCCUGAUCCAGCAAUGCCGCGUGAGUGAUGAAGGCCUUAGGGUUGUAAAGCUCUUUUACCCGGGAUGAUAAUGACAGUACCGGGAGAAUAAGCUCCGGCUAACUCCGUG
rnacentral:rRNA from 1 species